UACUCAAAAACAUUCUGCAAUUACAAUAAAGCUUUACAAAAUAAAGGCUAUUUUAGUAAGAUGGAAAAAGUAAUGCCUUAAAACAUGAAAUAACGCCUUACUUUAAAGAACUGUUGUCUAUUUUCAUGGUACGAUCGAUAGUUAUGUAUUAGUAAUUGUCAUUUUUUCGAGCCACGAUUUAAUCACACGUCAAUUACAUUUCAUGUCAUAGUUUGAUCUUUUCGCCCUUUGUCGAAUGAUUGUUGUUUUGGUCUGCUUGUUUUAUGCAUCAGUUCAGCAGUAUAACCGCGUGUGCUACGUCAAACGAGUUCAUCUUCAUGUGUCCGCCAUCACACCGACAGCAUGGCAUAUUUGCUGUCCAUUUUACUACUGACAGUACUGGCCUCGUUUUCCCAUUUCAAGCUACCGUGCAGUGCCGUUAAUAUAAAGUUGAGCGCCGUCGGCACUAAGAUAGAGACGAGAUGUUACGGUAAACAUCUCAACGCAUCGUGCACGUUGUACCAGAAGCAUUCCACCGUCAAUCAAUCGGUCGAUUGUGAUAUUGAAGUGAUGCGUGAAAUCAAAGACUUGAAGCUUACAGUGAACUACAACGUCGUUGCUCUGAAUGGGCUCGCGCAAACCUCUCUGCUAAAGCGCACGCUGGAUCUGUGCUUCUUCCUGCGCAAUCCGCGAUCCGAUCGGUUGAUUAGCAGCAUCUACACUUACAUUAAGGAGCGCAGCAAUCUGCCACCAAGAUGCCCUCUGCCAGUGGCGCACUAUACUAUACGCAGCUUAAGACUCCGCGACAUCCCAAUACCGGUCUUUCUACCCGAGUCGGACUUUGUUCUGGAGGAAAUCUUUCGCUCGGAGGUAAAGCAUGAGACGCUGUUCGAGUUUCGAUUCCAUGGUAAGCUGGUACGGUAUAUAGAUACUGAGUGACAGUAACUUUUCUGCCGAAUUGCUAGUUGACCUUAUAUAAUUGCUUCAACCAAGAUAAAUAAUAUAAACAACUGAUGAAAUUAUUGCCUGAUUUUUUACACAACAUUGGGGUGGAAACACUUAAACUGUUCUUCUUUCAUGCGUAUUUUCAAUAAUGACAACAAAGUGAUAGAUAAUGUUUCAAUCAACUGUACGAUCUGCGAACAAAUUGGUCAUCCUUAUCCAGUAAUUACUUUGCCAUCUUUUGACCAGUUGAAUGUUGUAUAUAUUGUUUCACGCUACAAUGUACACUUCAUUGAUUUCGAGUCCGAUCACUGGAUCUGGACUGGAAGGUCCGCGGCCCACUACCCAAGGAUAGUAUGGCAAACUUACUGCCUGUGUCGCUGUUACUAGCGCUUCUCUUUUGCUCACAGCUUCACCCCCUGUACGCUUUCGUAAAGCUUGUAGCCGUCGGAACGAAGGUCGAAUUCAGGAGCAAGGUGAAACACAUCAACGCUUCCCACCAGUUUUGUCGCCGUGAUUCCCUGACGGAACAAUCGCUCGACAUGAAACUGGACAUUACAAGUCCGUUGCGUGAAAUGAAGCUUUAUUUUAGCUACUAUCCCAUCCUGGGCAACAGUACGGCGCGGACCGCGCUGGUCAAGCGGACGGUUGACCUAUGCUUCUACAUACAGCACCCAAACUCCGACCGGUUGCUGAGGAUAGUGUACGAUUACGUUCGGGAGCGUUCUAACCUGCCGGAACGCUGUCCGGUCGAACCCGGCAGCUACUACAUACGGAAUGCGAAACCGUCCGACGUACCGGUGCCUGCCUUCAUACCGGAAAGUGAGUUCAUGCUGGAGCUCAUUUACCGGAACGAGGUGCGGCGUGAAAUUAUGCUGGAGUUUCGCUUCUACGGCAAGUUGGUAAGGGUGCUUGGAGCAUUCUAGAGCGAAUACGAAGUUACUAUCUUGUUACUUACGAUCGUAUGCAAUGUUUUUAAUGAUUUAUCAAUGGAACAAAAAAAUGGUUCAGCAAACUAUUUCCUGUGAGUGAUUUGCAUCUUCGUCCAUGGAAACUAACUUCAGCGAUGACAAAUGGUGCAAGUCAAUGUUGACUUGAGGGUUUCACAUUGAUCUGUUGAACUCAUAUCAAUAUUUCACG